rnacentral:rRNA from 1 species
UGGGGAAUAUUGGACAAUGGGCGGAAGCCUGAUCCAGCCAUGCCGCGUGAGUGAUGAAGGCCUUAGGGUUGUAAAGCUCUUUCGCACGCGACGAUAAUGACGGUAGCGUGAGAAGAAGCCCCGGCUAACUUCGUGCCAGCAGCCGCGGUAAUACGAAGGGGGCUAGCGUUGUUCGGAUUAACUGGGCGUAAAGGGCGCGUAGGCGGGUUUUUAAGUCAGGGGUGAAAUCCCGAGGCUCAACCUCGGAACUGCCUUUGAUACUGGAAAUCUUGAGUCCGGGAGAGGUGAGUGGAACUGCGAGUGUAGAGGUGAAAUUCGUAGAUAUUCGCAAGAACACCAGUGGCGAAGGCGGCUCACUGGCCCGGUACUGACGCUGAGGCGCGAAAGCGUGGGGAGCAAA